UGUGACUGGUGCCGGAGGUAUGCCUUGGCAGAAUGUCCAGAAUUGUCAUGGCUAUCUCCUUUUGCUGCUAAUAUUACUGAUUGUUACUCUCAUUGCUAUGCAGCUGCUAUGGCAAUACUUUGUGCCAUCAAAUCUAGUUACAGCCUUGGACAUCGACAACUGUUUUAGACGGCGGCUUGACAGGAAUGCAAUGUUAACAACAAUGAAAAGAUAUCUUUACUGGCUUGCAACUUCGCUUAUAAAUCUCAAAAGCAUAUUUUGUUUUGUCUCAAAACCAUGUGUUCACACGCGCGAUGUCCCGCGUGGCGAUGACGUAAAUAAUAUUAACUUACAUUUAUGCAUGCACGUUCAUAAUGAAGGUCCAAGUUCAAAACACCCCCGCCCGUGGCGUGAACCCGGGGGAAACGUCACUCUUCUUCGUGAUGGGCUUCCAGCAACGCUAACUUUCCAACUGGACGAACGUAGGUUCCGGCUUUCGUCACAAUUUCAGCUGAUCUCACGAGUCCGUCCGCACUUGCGAUCGGUGCACUGACCUCUCGGAGCGUUAUCCUCCACGAUAAGGACUAGAUCCCCUCGCCGAAGAUUUCGCUGUAUCGUACGCCAUUUGCUGCGUUUAAUCAAAUGCGGCACAUACUCCUGCUUCCACCGUCGCCAGAACUGGUCGGCUAGAAACUGUCUGUGUCUCCAUCGACGACGUAAAGACAUAUCUCGCUUGACGAAUUCGCCCGGUGUCAGAUUAGCACUUGCGCGUCCGUGGAGAAAAUGAUUUGGCGUUAGAACACUCACAUCUGUCGCUGACCUGCUGCUUCCUCCAUACACAAGUGGCCGAGAAUUUAGAAGAGACUCGACUUCCGCGACUACUGUAAGAAAAACUUCGUCCACCGUGACGACGUUACCCAUAAUCGCUUUCAUGGCUCUUUUUGUGGACUUAACUAAAGACUCCCAAGCUCCACCAAACCAGGGAGCAGCAGGUGGAAUGAAAAUCCAUUGUACGCCUCGUGCACUAAGUUCGUCGGCGACUCGUUUUUGAUCGAUUUCAAGAACGGAUUCUCGUAACUCACGCUCGGCGCCGACGAAAUUGGUACCGUUGUCGCUCAAAAUGCGGGCCGG